GUUGUGAUAUGAAGCUAACAGAAGCUAAAGCUAACAGGUGUCAUGCUAAAUUAGCAUUGCUUUAACUGGCUUUCAUCGUUUACAAAUCUCCGAGGUGUUCCUGAAGGCAGCACAGAUAAGCCCCGCCCCCUGCUGUCGGCGGCCUGUGGUGCGUUCACGGCACAUUUUCACGGAGUGUUUGAAAGUUGUCAACAGAGAAGAGCCGGAGGACCGGAGAGGAAGAGCGGACACGGAGAGCGGCUUCACACCGACAGCAGAGCUCGGAGCUGGAGGGAUGGGCUGCAGCCACAGCAAGAAGAAAAGCAAGAAGGGAGAGAAGAAGCAGAAGAAAAGCCGCCGAGAUGAAGGAGGUGACCGUGCGUCAGGUGAGCAGGACGUCUACCUGGAGAAGCAGCUGGAGCGCUUCGAGUGGCAGCUGAGGACGCUGAAGGAAGUGCUGUCAGCCAAGGGAACCGGAGAGGGCGGCGCUUCUGAAGGGCCACGCCGAUGAAGAGCUGUGCGCCCUCGUCCUGAGCGUCCCGAUAAGGUGAAGACGGAGAC